rnacentral:rRNA from 1 species
CGUGAAAUUGUUGAAAGGGAAACGCUUGAAGUCAGUCGCGUUGUUCAGGAUUCAGCCUUGCUUUUGCUUGGUGUACUUCCUGUUCGACGGGUCAGCAUCAGUUUUGGCCGGUGG